rnacentral:rRNA from 1 species
GGGUUGUGAGGUUAAGCGACUAAGCGUACACGGUGGAUGCCCUGGCAGUCAGAGGCGAUGAAGGACGUGCUAAUCUGCGAAAAGCGACGGCGAGGUGAUAUGAACCUUUGACCCGUCGAUGUCCGAAUGGGGAAACCCAGUGCAAUCCGUUGCACUAUCGUUAACUGAAUACAUAGGUUAACGAGGCGAACCGGGGGAACUGAAACAUCUAAGUACCCCGAGGAAAAGAAAUCAACCGAGAUUCCCCCAGUAGCGGCGAGCGAACGGGGAGCAGCCCGGAGUCUGAAUCAGCUUGUGUGUUAGUGGAACGGUCUGGAAAGUCCGACGGUACAGGGUGAUAGUCCCGUACACGAAAACACACUUGCUGUGAACUCGAAGAGUAGGGCGGGACACGUGGUAUCCUGUCUGAAUAUGGGGGGACCAUCCUCCAAGGCUAAAUACUCCUGACUGACCGAUAGUGAACCAGUACCGUGAGGGAAAGGCGAAAAGAACCCCGGCGAGGGGAGUGAAAAAGAACCUGAAACCGUGUACGUACAAGCAGUGGGAGCCUCUUUAUGGGGUGACUGCGUACCUUUUGUAUAAUGGGUCAGCGACUUAUAUUCUGUAGCAAGGUUAACCGUAUAGGGGAGCCGAAGGGAAACCGAGUCUUAACUGGGCGUUAAGUUGCAGGGUAUAGACCCGAAACCCGGUGAUCUAGCCAUGGGCAGGUUGAAGGUUGGGUAACACUAACUGGAGGACCGAACCGACUAAUGUUGAAAAAUUAGCGGAUGACCUGUGGCUGGGGGUGAAAGGCCAAUCAAACCGGGAGAUAGCUGGUUCUCCCCGAAAGCUAUUUAGGUAGCGCCUCGUGAACUCAUCUUCGGGGGUAGAGCACUGUUUCGGCUAGGGGGCCAUCCCGGCUUACCAACCCGAUGCAAACUACGAAUACCGAAGAAUGUUAUCACGGGAGACACACGGCGGGUGCUAACGUCCGUCGUGAAGAGGGAAACAACCCAGACCGCCAGCUAAGGUCCCAAAGUCAUGGUUAAGUGGGAAACGAUGUGGGAAGGCACAGACAGCCAGGAUGUUGGCUUAGAAGCAGCCAUCAUUUAAAGAAAGCGUAAUAGCUCACUGGUCGAGUCGGCCUGCGCGGAAGAUGUAACGGGGCUAAACCAUGCACCGAAGCUGCGGCAGCGACACUAUGUGUUGUUGGGUAGGGGAGCGUUCUGUAAGCCGUUGAAGGUGGCCUGUGAGGGUUGCUGGAGGUAUCAGAAGUGCGAAUGCUGACAUAAGUAACGAUAAAGCGGGUGAAAAGCCCGCUCGCCGGAAGACCAAGGGUUCCUGUCCAACGUUAAUCGGGGCAGGGUGAGUCGACCCCUAAGGCGAGGCCGAAAGGCGUAGUCGAUGGGAAACAGGUUAAUAUUCCUGUACUUGGUGUUACUGCGAAGGGGGGACGGAGAAGGCUAUGUCAGCCGGGCGACGGUUGUCCCGGUUUAAGCAUGUAGGCGGAGGUUCCAGGUAAAUCCGGUACCUUUUAACGCUGAGGUGUGAUGACGAGGCACUACGGUGCUGAAGUGAUAAAUGCCCUGCUUCCAGGAAAAGCCUCUAAGCAUCAGGUAACACGAAAUCGUACCCCAAACCGACACAGGUGGUCAGGUAGAGAAUACCAAGGCGCUUGAGAGAACUCGGGUGAAGGAACUAGGCAAAAUGGUGCCGUAACUUCGGGAGAAGGCACGCUGAUAUGUAGGUGAAGUCCCUGCGGACGGAGCUGAAAUCAGUCGAAGAUACCAGCUGGCUGCAACUGUUUAUUAAAAACACAGCACUGUGCAAACACGAAAGUGGACGUAUACGGUGUGACGCCUGCCCGGUGCCGGAAGGUUAAUUGAUGGGGUUAGCGGCAACGCGAAGCUCUUGAUCGAAGCCCCGGUAAACGGCGGCCGUAACUAUAACGGUCCUAAGGUAGCGAAAUUCCUUGUCGGGUAAGUUCCGACCUGCACGAAUGGCGUAAUGAUGGCCAGGCUGUCUCCACCCGAGACUCAGUGAAAUUGAACUCGCUGUGAAGAUGCAGUGUACCCGCGGCAAGACGGAAAGACCCCGUGAACCUUUACUAUAGCUUGACACUGAACACUGGUCCUUGAUGUGUAGGAUAGGUGGGAGGCUUUGAAGCGUGGACGCCAGUCUGCGUGGAGCC